rnacentral:RNase_P_RNA from 1 species
GGGACGGCCGCUGCGCCUUCGUUGAAGGCUCAGAGGAAAGUCCGGACUUCGCAGGACAGGGAGUCCCGGAGAAAUCCGGGAUACCGUGGACAAGACGCCACGGGCAGGACAGUGCCACAGAAAAUAUACCGCCCCGUCGCCGGGGUAAGGGUGAAAUGGUGGGGUAAGAGCCCACCGGGCCAGGACGAGAGUCCAGCUGCAGGGUAAACCCCUCCCGAAGCAAGGUCGAACAGGAAUAAGGUGUCGUCCGCACCGUCCGGCAUCGCCGGAUAGUUCCGGGUAGAUCGCAAAGAUGAAUGGUCGUCGCCUGGCAUUGCCAGGAUACUGAAUCCGGCUUACACC